UGACAGCCUGUAUGUUUCGGAUCAUUCGUGUGCACCUGUCAUCUGCACCCCAGACUUUGCUGUUUUCAAGAUUCCUCUGACUGGGUGUGGUACUCACAGAUUUGUCAUUGGGGAGACUUCCAUCUACUUGGCAGAUGUGUUUGGGAAAAGGUACAAGAAUCAUCAAAUGUAUGGUCAAAUACUGAGACAAGCUCCUUACCACUCCCAAAUUGAAUGCCGCUAUUCAAAAGGAACACAUGCCAGCACUGGUUACAUGGUGGUGAAUAGCCAGCCUC